GGCGACAAUGUCAAGCCUACAUUUUGAUAUCAGAGAGGACCAGUGGCCGUUAGUUUAUGACGAAAAGUAUAAUGUGUCCUUCUGCGGCUUUGAGAAGUUUCAUAUAUUUGAUGCAAAGAAAUGGCGUAACAUAAUACAGUACUUACCUCGUUU